rnacentral:rRNA from 1 species
UACGUAGGGGGCGAGCGUUGUCCGGAAUCAUUGGGCGUAAAGCGCGUGUAGGCGGCUCGAUAAGUCUGCUGUGAAAGUCCAGGGCUCAACCCUGGAAUGCCGGUGGAAACUGUUGAGCUUGAGUCCGGAAGAGGCGAGUGGAAUUCCUGGUGUAGCGGUGGAAUGCGCAGAUAUCAGGAGGAACACCAAUAGCGAAGGCAGCUCGCUGGGACGUUACUGACACUGAGGCGCGAAAGCGUGGGGAGCGAACAGG